rnacentral:rRNA from 1 species
GAUGAACGCUGGCUACAGGCUUAACACAUGCAAGUCGAGGGGAAACGGCAUUGAGUGCUUGCACUGAAUGGACGUCGACCGGCGCACGGGUGAGUAACGCGUAUCCAACCUUCCCGUUACUGCGGGAUAACCUGCCGAAAGGCAGACUAAUACCGCAUGUUCUUCGAUGACGGCAUCAGAUUCGAAGCAAAGAUCCGUCGGUAACGGAGUGGGAUGCGUCUGAUUAGCUAGUUGGCGGGGCGACGGCCCACCAAGGCGACGAUCAGUAGGGGUUCUGAGAGGAAGGUCCCCCACAUUGGAACUGAGACACGGUCCAAACUCCUACGGGAGGCAGCAGUGAGGAAUAUUGGUCAAUGGGCGGAAGCCUGAACCAGCCAAGUAGCGUGCAGGAUGACGGCCCUACGGGUUGUAAACUGCUUUUAUGCGGGGAUAAAGUGAGGGACGCGUCCCUUUUUGCAGGUACCGCAUGAAUAAGGACCGGCUAAUUCCGUG